ACACUGAAAUGAAUGGUAUCGUAAUUCGAGCGAUAUCAUAGCAGUAAAAUUUACAAUGGACAAAUUUAGGAGAAAUCACUAUAAAUUCAGUCAAAUUAAUUGGCAUUCCAUUACAUUAAGUAUGCACACGGUCAUUUAUGCAUAGUAAAUUUAAAAAUGCAAUGUUAUAAAAAAGCUCACAAAUGUUUUGACAGUUUACGGUUUAAUCCACCAUAUUUGUUGUAAAAAAUAGAACAAAUCAUUGUUUCUACAAAUGAGUUGUCAUUUCUACAGCAUUAAUAAUGUAAAAUUUACUAACUACGAAGUAAAUUAUUCCUAUCGUGUUUGUUUACUGUUCACCAUUUUAUCUCUCAUUUGCAUCUCUAAAGUUGACGUGCGAGGAAAAAAAUCAAGUUUCCAUCCUAACCAGCAUAUUUUUAAGGAUUCGGACUUAAGAAAAUAAUAAGCACAGAUUGGAAAACUCAGAAAACCAUUAAUGUUUGCAAUUCGAUGGAGAUUAUGGCUGCAGAUGCUUCUACCAAAAUUAUUGUCAGCUCUAACGGAGAUCUAUUAUUCCGGUGCGGCAAAUAGAUCGCUUUUACGGACCCAGUAUUGCAGUAUUCCACAUAAUAUGGCUUGAAGGAAGUUCCUUUCCAAUUUACCGAUGUUUGGCAAAUGUGAAACGGUCCCCAAUACAUGAAUAUAGUAGCUGUCAAUACACCGUAGAAUGUAUAUUUGAUUAACGAUACUAUUAUUUUUAUGUAAUGUUUUAUCAUCUUGUUAACGAAAUAAAAAUAGGUUGUUUAACUAAUAAAACAAAGUACAAAUUUUAUUAUAAUAUAAUAACCAAGCAGCAUUCAUUUUAACACAGUGAAAAUAAUAAGUUUGUCUUGUAUAUUUCACUACUCAAUAGUAUAUCGUUAGUGUAGACAACAACCUGGACAAAAAUAUGACAUAAUGGUAAAAACUACAAUAUAUCUUCUUAUUAUAAUCAUGAGACCACUUCGGUUGAAAAACGUUGGUGCGAGUCUGUUAAUUCCAACCUCUUUGGUAGUGAUUUUCACUACAAAGCUGUUUUCAG